rnacentral:rRNA from 1 species
UUGUAAUCUGUAGAAGGUGCCUCGGGCGCGACACCGGUCCAAGUCCCUUGGAAUGGGGCGUCACAGAGGGUGAGAAUCCCGUACGUGGCCGGAGGUCAAGCCCGUGUGAGGCCCUUUCGACGAGUCGAGUUGUUUGGGAAUGCAGCUCUAAAUGGGUGGUAAAUUUCAUCUAAAGCUAAAUACCGGCCAGAGACCGAUAGCGCACAAGUAGAGUGAUCGAAAGAUGAAAAGCACUUUGAAAAGAGAGUUAAAAAGUACGUGAAAUUGUUGAAAGGGAAGCGCUUGCAACCAGACUCGCGCACGGGUGUUCAGUCGUCCUUCGGGGCGGCGCGCUCUCCCGUGCUCGGGCCAGCAUCGGUUCGGGCGGUCGGAUAAAGGUUCCGGGAACGUAGUUCUCUUCGGGGAAUGUUAUAGCCCGGGGCGUAAUGCGGCCAGCCUGGACCGAGGACCGCGCUUUUUGCUAGGAUGCUGGCGUAAUGGUUGCCAGCGACCCGUCUUGAAACACGGACCAGUAAGUCACCACCUCAACUACCCAUUAAAUCAUCUAUAUGUACUAACUUGUUCUGCAGAGGAGUCGACCAACUGCGCGAGUGUUAGGGCGUCAAACCCUUGCGCGCAAUGAAAGUGAACGGAGGUGCGAGCUUCGGCGCAGCAUCGACCGAUCCUGAAGUUUACGGAUGGAUUUGAGUAUGAGCGAAGUUGGUCGGACCCGAAAGAUGGUGAGCUAUGCGUGAAUAGGGUGAAGCCAGAGGAAACUCUGGUGGAGGCUCGCAGCGGUUCUGACGUGCAAAUCGAUCGUCAAAUUUGCGUAUAGGGGCGAAAGACUAAUCGAACCAUCUAGUAGCUGGUUCCUGUCGAAGUUUCCCUCAGGAUAGCAGCAACGAAAACAGUCUCAUGAGGUAGAGCGAACGAUUAGAGGCCUUGGGGCAAAAAUUGCCUUAACCUAUUCUCGAACUUCGAAUAUGUGAGAAGUCCUUGUUACUUAGUUGAA